rnacentral:rRNA from 1 species
ACGGAGGCAGCAGUAAGGAAUUUUCCACAAUGGGCGAAAGCCUGAUGGAGCAACGCCGCGUGGAGGAUGACGGCCUUCGGGUUGUAAACUCCUUUUAAAUGGGAAGAUUAUGACGGUACCAUUUGAAUAAGCAUCGGCUAACUACGUGCCAGCAGCCGCGGUAAUACGUAGGAUGCAAGCGUUAUCCGGAAUUACUGGGCGUAAAGCGUCUGUAGGUGGUUUGUUAAGUUGAAUGUUAAAUUUAUGGGCUCAACUCAUAAACUGCAUUCAAUACUGGCAGACUUGAGGAAGGAAGAGGUAAGCGGAAUUACAGGUGGAGCGGUGAAAUGCGUAGAUAUCUGUAGGAACACCAAUGGCGAAGGCAGCUUACUGGGCCUCUCCUGACACUGAGAGACGAAAGCGUGGGGAGCGAACGGAAUUAGAUACCCGCGUAGUCCG